GACGCAGGCGAUUCUGGCCCAGACAUCGACGGGGACAAAAGAAA
rnacentral:tRNA from 1 species